rnacentral:tRNA from 2 species
GUUCCUGUAGUUGAGAUAACAACGGCGGUUUUUCGAUCCGUUGGCCCUGGCUGACACCCAGGUAGGAAUU